GGAUUGUGGCUCAGGGGUAGGGCACUCGCCUAGCAUGUGUGAGGCCCUGGGUUUGAUCCUCAGCACCA
rnacentral:tRNA from 1 species